GAAGAUUUGAAUUUAGAUGUGAACCAAGACAUAUAGGGACCUACUACAGAAGGGUGAUUCAAUCCAUCCACAUUUGCAGGAAAACUUGGACUAAUAAGAUCAUCUAAAUUGAAUGCAGUAUAAUGUCCCAACUGGGGUGGCUCAACACCAAAAGGAAUUGCCACUUUGUGCAAUUGGCUCAGAGAACUAUAAUUAAUUGAACUACUCGAAGUAACUGGUAUCUUUUUCUUCGGGAGAGUUGUAGGAAUAGGAUUUGUAGAGGUCCCCCCAUGUUGUGAAGCGCUUAAUUUCUUCUUAUUGUGAACAGACCAAGGAGAGGAUAUGUCUGCACCAGAAGCCUGACUUGCAGAGUCCACUGUAAUUUGGAAACCUGAACUACUAACUGAAGCAGGCUUCUUGCAAACAUCAGCAGGUUGUAAUGACCCUGAACCCAGAGCAUUCAAAUUCUUUUUAUUUUUCAUAGUCAAAGAAUCACUUUCAUCAAGAGUAUUCAUUGUCUUAUGAGCAGAACCCAGCAACCAAGGAACAGGUGCCUCCACUCCAGGAGGAAUAUCCACAUUAUCGAAGUGGGCUUGUAAAGAUGCAUACUUGUCAAAAUCCAUGAAGUCAUCAGAAAAGGAAUCAAAAUAAUCAUUUUCAUAUAACAAAUCGGAACUAACACCAUCUAUGAUGAUUGUUUUAUGUGAUCCUGGGGCAGAGCUUUUAGAAGGACAGAUAAGAUAAUUGGCCAAAGUGUCCUUAGCUUGAUUGUAACCUUCAGAAUUAUCUUCUAUAGCUAUCCCUUUAUUUUUUGAGUCAACUUUCUCAUCAAGGAUCAUGACAUCAGGGUAUUCUUCAUCGUUGUCAACAUCGAUAACUUCAUGAAGUAUAACCUGUUUGAGUUUAGGCUGGCCG
rnacentral:misc_RNA from 1 species